rnacentral:misc_RNA from 1 species
UGUGGGAGCUGGCUUGCCUGCGAUGCAAGCGACUCGGUGUAUCAGCCACACCGAGUGGAUGCCAUCGCAGGCAAGCCAGCUCCCACA